UCAGAGAAAAUACACUUGUGCCUCAAACCUGCUAUGGGACUCAGGCUCCUCUGUGGUGUGGCCUUUUGUUUCCUGGGAGUAGGUCUCAUGGAUGCAGAAGUAACCCAAGUCCCAAGAUAUCUGAUCAAAAGAAAGGGAGAGAAAGUGUUUAUGGAAUGUUUACAGGAUAUGGACCAUGACAGAAUGUUCUGGUAUCGACAAGACCCAGCUCUGGGGCUGCAGCUGCUCCACUUCUCAUAUGGGGUUGAAAAUAAUGAGAAAGGAGAUUUCCCCGAUGGGUACAGUGUCUCCAGGAAGAAGAAGGAGGGCUUCUCCCUGAUCCUGGGGUCUGCCAGCACCAAGCAGACAUCUGUGUACCUCUGUGCCAGCAGUAUAUCGUGUUCCUAUAACUCGCCCCUCUACUUUGGGGUCGGCACCAGGCUCACCGUGACAGACGACCUGAACAAGGUGAAACCACCCAAGGUCACUGUGUUUGAACCAUCCGAAGCAGAGAUUGCCCGGACACAGAAGGCCACGCUUGUGUGCCUGGCCACAGGCUUCUACCCCGACCACGUGGAGCUGAGCUGGUGGGUGAAUGGGAAGGAGACCCAGAGUGGGGUCAGCACAGACCCUCAGCCCUACAAGGAGCAGCGCAACCACAGUGACUCCAACUACUGUCUGAGCAGCCGGCUGAGGGUCUCUGCCACCUUCUGGCACAAUCCUCGCAACCACUUCCGCUGCCAAGUGCAGUUCUUUGGGCUAGACGAAGAAGACCAGAAGAAUUGGGAGGACACCCGCCCCAUACCCAUCACCCAGAAUGUCAGUGCUGAGGUCUGGGGCAGAGCAGAUUGUGGCUUCACCUCAAGUUCCUACCAGCAAGGGGUCCUAUCUGCCACCAUCCUCUAUGAGAUCCUUCUGGGGAAGGCCACUGUGUAUGCGGUGCUGGUCAGCGCCUUGGUGCUGAUGGCCAUGCUCAAGAAAAAGGUUUCCUGAGACCAGUUCCAGAUGAACAUCCUCAGACAUUUUUAAUCCAAACCCUAGAUUCACCUUCACAUGCUUCCAGUCUGUGUUCCCAAUGAAGGAUUCUCUCCUCGCCCUCUUAUCUCCUACCUAUAUAAGUAUCUUUCCCUUCUCUCUGCUGCCCUGCAGACUGAGCUCCUCAAUACUGAGUCUGAGAUAAACUAAACCAAUAAAAAUGUUGUGCUGGA